GGCCCCUUGGUCAAGCGGUUAAGACGGAGCCCUCUCAAGGCUCAAUCACGAGUUCGAUUCUCGUAGGGGUCACCA
rnacentral:tRNA from 1 species